GACGAACGCUGGCGGCGUGCCUAAUACAUGCAAGUCGAGCGAUGAAGGAGAUACUUGUAUCUUUUGAAGAGCGGCGAACGGGUGAGUAACGCGUGGGGAAUCUGCCAAUGAGUGGGGGACAACAUUUGGAAGCGAAUGCUAAUACCGCAUAAAAUCUAUUGAGACAUCUCAAGAGAUUGAAAGGAACAAUUGUUUCGCUCGUUGAUGAUCCCGCGUUGUAUUAGCUAGUUGGUGAGGUAAGGGCUCACCAAGGCGAUGAUACAUAGCCGACCUGAGAGGGUGAUCGGCCACAUUGGGACUGAGACACGGCCCAAACUCCUACGGGAGGCAGCAGUAGGGAAUCUUCGGCAAUGGACGAAAGUCUGACCGAGCAACGCCGCGUGAGUGAAGAAGGUUUUCGGAUCGUAAAGCUCUGUUGUUGUUAAAGAACGUUGAUGAGAGUGGAAAGUUCAUCAAGUGACGGUAAACAACCAGAAAGGGACGGCUAACUACGUGCCAGCAGCCGCCGUAA
rnacentral:rRNA from 1 species